AUGGGGGAUGUCCCUGCGUUCUUCACAGCCCGGGCAGCCAGGCUGUCAGGGACAGGCCCUGGUGGUGAAGCCUGUGAGGAGUUUGCAGAGAUGUCCCGCUCAACAAUGGUAAGAGCCAUCAGAUCUUUGCCAUCUGAACAGACUUUGGGAUCUGAGAGAAUUCUUACCCGUCUUUCUAUCUCAUAUCUAUGUCAUGGAUCACCUCUGGGCGUUUUCCCAAACCCUUUCUGGAAUUUAUUUUCAGUGCUGCAAGAAAAACAAUGAUAAAGACACACGCUGAGAAAGUCUUUGUGAUAACUUCAGUAAGCACAUAUAGUGGAGCAGAUGGUGGUCCUUAUUGGGUAAGUAAUUCAAGACAUUGACUUAUAUCUGGGGGCCCAUGAGCAAAUGGAAAGGCAAAAUGGUGUGUGUGCACAUGGACAUAUGUGUGAGUGUGUGUGGUUUCAGUAUGUCAGAGAGGGUGGGCGGACUACUUAGGUGUAUAGCGGAAAAUGAAAGAGUUAAAUGAAAACAUAAAAGGAGAGAAAGUCACCAACAAAUGUGCCAUUGAGCUCCUUUGUUGUGUAUGCUGCGGGGAAACCCUGUACAUAGUCUGCAAGGUGUCUACCUACAGUUCCCAUAAGACAUCAAAUUGACAGUUUGACUGUGGAAAUUAGUAUGGAGGCUGUGCCACUGGUAAUUUACAGGCUGAAAUGAGAUCAUGGGGUCCAGACUUUGUCCGUUGCUCUGAAAUUCCCAUCAUCUUGUUUUCAGAGCUAAAUGUUGAUGCUUUACGCCCACGUUGCUUGUUGUUGUUGUACUUACUAUGAGAUCGCUUUCACAAACAUAGACUAAGCUUAGUUUGUAUGCUUAAUAUGUGUUUUAAAACUGUAUAUGCUUUCUGGAAGGCAUGAAAUGGCAUGUUGAUGUUGCUUUGGGGUUAAGGCAAGACACUACAGGUGAAUAGGGUCAAAUUUUUAAUGAGUAGAUAUCACCGUACUUUCCCCUGUUGAUUAAUCACAGUACAUUACGUCAAUUGUUUUCUGAAAUGUUGUAAAAUAGGCAUUAUCUAAUUAAAUAAAUGCACUUAUCUCCAUACAUUUCCAGAACAGAAAUCUGAACAUUGUAUUAAGCCAAGUUCAAAAUUCAUGUUUGAUUUUGUUGACAUAUUAAAGGUUUUUACAGAGGGGAUGUGGAUGUCUCUGUUUAGCUCUCCAUAAAUCAGGAAAAAAAAAUCAUCAUGGUUUGAAAUUAAUUAUAUAAACUCCACAAAUUAUAUAUGCACAAUGUCUGUAGUUAAAAAAAAAAAAAAAAUGUAGGUAGGAUAAAAAAAAACUUGACAGUUUGGUGUAUUUAAGUUUUUCUGCACUACAAAAAUUAUUAUUAUUAUUAUUUUUCAUUUCAAGUAUCUAUAUUCUCAAAUCAAGAUACAAUUGCUUGAUAGACAAGAUGACAUAUGAUAAAAAUGUUUUAAAAACUCUAUGCUUAAAUGGUAAGAAUAAAACAUAAUUUAAAGGGAAAACAUAUUUUUUUUCUUUUUUUUUCUAGAACAUAAAGCCAAAUAUAUAAAGUGAUUUUGCUUCUCAGGUGUAUCUUGGUUUAAUAAUGUUUAGAUAUAUCUACUGGAAAAAAAAGACAAAAAAAACUUAGAGGAAGAACUUUUGUUUUUUGUUUUUUGUCAGUGACGUGGAGAUUUCUAACAGGAGGGGGAAAAUCCUUUUGUGAAACAGAUAUAUUGUAAUUGCAAUCUACAGAUGCAAAUAGAUAAAGUGUAAUGAAAUAAACAUUUAAAUGUCUGUUUUUCUUUCCAUUAGUCUGAAAGACAACAAAAAAAUAGCCCAAAAUCUCAAAAUGGACCAGUGCAUUAAAAAAUAAUGGUUUUGCCUGCAGUCUUGCCUUAAUUUGUCUUGUAUAGUUACUGUUUUCCCACAGGGAUGAUUAGUUGUGCCUCAGAUCUGACUGGCAUAGCUCGUUGUUGUACUUACUAUGAGAUCGCUUUCACAAACAUAGACUAAGCUUAGUUUGUAUGCUUAAUAUAGUGUUUUAAAACUGUAUAUGCUUUCUGGAAGGCAUGAAAUGGCAUGUUGAUGUUGCUUUGGGGUUAAGGCAAGACACUACAGGUGAAUAGGGUCAAAUUUUUAAUGAGUAGAUAUCACCGUACUUUCCCCUGUUGAUUAAUCACAGUACAUUACGUCAAUUGUUUUCUGAAAUGUUAGUAAAUAGGCAUUAUCUAAUUAAAUAAAUGCACUUAUCUCCAUACAUUUCCAGAACAGAAAUCUGAACAUUGUAUUAAGCCAAGUUCAAAAUUCAUGUUUGAUUUUGUUGACAUAUUAAAGGUUUUUACAGAGGGGAUGUGGAUGUCUCUGUUUAGCUCUCCAUAAAUCAGGAAAAAAAAUCAUCAUGGUUUGAAAUUAAUUAUAUAAACUCCACAAAUUAUAUAUGCACAAUGUCUGUAGUUAAAAAAAAAAAAAUGUAGGUAGGAUAAAAAACUUAGACAGUUUGGUGUAUUUAAGUUUUUACUUGCACUACAAAAAUUAAUUAUUAUUAUUAUUUUUCUAGCUUGAUAGACAAGAUGACAUAUGAUAAAAAUGUUUUAAAAACUCUAUACUUAAAUGGUAAGAAUAAAACAUAAUUUAAAGGGAAAACAUAUUUUUUCUUUUUUUUUCUAGAACAUAAAGCCAAAUAUAUAAAGUGAUUUUGCUUCUCAGGUGUAUCUUGGUUUAAUAAUGUUUAGAUAUAUCUACUGGAAAAAAAGCAAAAAAAAACUUGAGGAAGAACUUUUGUUUUUGUUUUUUGCAGUGACGUGGAGAUUUCUAACAGGAGGGGGAAAAUCCUUUUGUGAAAACAGAUAUAUUGUAAUUGCAAUCUACAGAUGCAAAUAGAUAAAGUGUAAUGAAAUAAACAUUUAAAUGUCUGUUUUUCUUUCCAUUAGUCUGAAAGACAACAAAAAAUAGCCCAAAAUCUCAAAAUGGACCAGUGCAUUAAAAAAUAAUGGUUUUGCCUGCAGUCUUGCCUUAAUUUGUCUUGUAUAGUUACUGUUUUCCCACAGGGAUGAUUAGUUGUGCCUCAGAUCUGUAUGGCAUAGCUCAGGUUAGUCCUAGGUUUGUGGAUGGAGUUUUGUUGACAGUGCAGGGUGAUGAUUUUGGCUCAGUUCAUGUAAUGGAUCUGAACGUCGUCUCUGUCA
rnacentral:lncRNA from 1 species